GAAUUAUAAAGAGGAGUCGAGAGAACGGGCUCAUGGAAACUCCGACAACCUGCAAGACCACUUGCAAGGUGCCAAAACCCGACCUGAGAACCAGGAGUUAUAAUUU
rnacentral:ncRNA from 1 species